GGGGUGGGCUCAGGUCCCAGGCCUGAAGUCAUGGCUCCUCUGUUUACAACACACGCAGCUGGAAUCUGAGCUCAGUGACAAGGAGCACAAAACGUGUUAUGUCCUAUGAACACAUGCCCACACAC